GUGCUCACUUUGGCAGCACAUACAUUAAAACUGGAACAACACAGAGAUUAGCAUGGCUUCUGUGCAGUGAUGACAUGCAAAUUUGUGAAGAGCUCUUUCAGAUA